UACGUAGGGGGGCAAGCGUUGUCCGGAUUUAUUGGGCGUAAAGAGCUCGUAGGCGGUUUGGUAAGUCUGGUGUGAAAUCUCCACGCUCAACGUGGAGGGGCCACCCGAUACUGCCAUGACUGGAGUCCGGUAGAGGAGUGUGGAAUUCCCGGUGUAGCGGUGAAAUGCGCAGAUAUCAGGAGGAACACCAAUGGCGAAGGCAGCUCGCUGGGACGGUACUGACGCUGAGACGCGAAAGCGUGGGGAGCAAACAGG
rnacentral:rRNA from 1 species